rnacentral:rRNA from 1 species
AGUUUGAUCCUGGCUCAGAACGAACGCUGGCGGCAGGCUUAACACAUGCAAGUCGAACGGUUGUAGCAAUACAGCAGUGGCAGACGGGUGAGUAACACGUGGGAACCUUCCUAGGGGUACGGAACAACUCAGGGAAACUUGAGCUAAUACCGUAUACGUCCGUGAGGAGAAAGAUUUAUCGCCCUUAGACGGGCCCGCGUCGGAUUAGCUAGUUGGUGGGGUAACGGCCUACCAAGGCGACGAUCCGUAGCUGAUCUUAGAGGAUGAUCAGCCACACUGGGACUGAGACACGGCCCAGACUCCUACGGGAGGCAGCAGUGGGGAAUCUUGGACAAUGGCGCAAGCCUGAUCCAGCCAUGCCGCGUGAGUGAAGAAGGUCUUCGGAUUGUAAAGCUCUUUUGCCAGGGACGAUAAUGACGGUACCUGGAGAAUAAGCCCCGGCAAACUUCGUG